GGAACUUCUGUUGAAAACGCAGAAAAUAUAGUUCAGGAAGAAAAAUAGCCCCACUAAAAAUUACAGAGCGAUAGUUUGGUGGGCAUAGGUGUCUCCUAUAGUCGGAGGAAAGUGAAAAUGUUCGUAAACGGUGAAAUCAGAAAAAUGUCGAUAAUUGAAUAGAAAUGUGCGGCCUUGAUAAUUAUUUUCAGAUAGCAAAUAACUACAAUUGAAACGAAACAAGCAGUCCUGCCCCUAUUACGGCUUAUUCUGCUUAAUCAUAUUUGUGUUAUUGUGUAAUUAGGAGUCUGAAUGUGAACUGAGAGACGAAGGUUUGAGUCCCUAUAAUCAUAUUUUCUUAAAAGUAUUACUGUUAAAAUUCCAAUUGCCUUGCCAAUUAAUGACUGGGAACAUGUAGUUUGUUGCUGUGUAAAUAUGAAAAGUAAAUGUUAAUUUUUUUUUGUGUUGAGAACCUCAUUCAAUGGCCAUCAGAACAUACUCGUACUCUUCCAAUUAAAAUUACUGCCAGCAGCACAAUUUGAUGGUUCACUCAGAACUAAGCCCAUCACUGGUAUACUCUUCUCUUCUUUAAUCUUGCUUGAAAUUACCCUCUUAUUUCGAAACAGAGCCAUGAUCACCAAGAUCUGCAAAAUCUUCGCAUUCAACUACAUCUCCGCAUUUUUCUCCAACCAUCCUAAGAUGGAUUGUUUGGUAUUCUGAUUAUGACAGACAUGAGGUUCCAAGAGUAUGGUCCAUAGCAUUAGUAGCAAGGUAUUGUCCCCAUGACUCCUUGCCUAAAUCAAGAGCAAAUAAUUCACCUACAGUAACAAAAACUGUUCAGUUAAAGUGACAAGGUGUUUAUUACAAGGAGGGAACAUUGACUUAUACAGGUCUGUGAUACGGGUUGAUUCAUUAUACUAAUUAAUAUUGUGUUGGAUACUGUCCAUUGUUUGAGGCAUUCUGCUCUGAUAUGAUUCAGGAGCUGGCUCUACUCACAAGUUCAGAUGGGCCAAUUACAGGCUGUUUGGUGGGACAUGAACUACACAGCUUCAAAGCAGCUAUGGCUAUGCCACUACCUCUCUUGUGCAGAUCAAGGCUUCUUGCCGAACCACAUGUACAAUCCAUGUGGAUUAGAUAUGACCUUGACAAGGCCAUAACAUCGCACUGUGCAUAAAGGUGUAUUUCUUCACAGCUGGAUAAUUAAUUUAAGUGGGAAACCAGUGUCAAUACGAAGUGAAGAGGAAAUCUAAUUGUCUAAGAGGAAGUAGCUAAGGUUCUAUGCUUACGUCCCUGAGGGUCAAUUGAUGAAUGGAAAUCCAGAAGAAAUCCAUAAUUAUGCUGUCCUUUGGCUCCGUAUCCAUCAGCAGAAAAGUGCAAU